GACGAACGCUGGCGGCGUGCUUAACACAUGCAAGUCGAACGAUGAAGCGGGUGCUUGCACUCGUGGAUUAGUGGCGAACGGGCGAGUAACACGUGAGUAGCCUGUCCUUUUCUUUGGGAUAACGGCUGGAAACGGCUGCUAAUACUGGAUAUUCAGGCUGCAUCGCAUGGUGUGGUUUGGAAAGGUUUUUUCUGGGAUUGGGUGGGCUCGCGGCCUAUCAGCUUGUUGGUGGGGUGAUGGCUUACCAAGGCUUUGACGGGUAGCCGGCCUGAGAGGGUGGUCGGUCGCACUGGGACUGAGAUACGGCCCAGACUCCUACGGGAGGCAGCAGUGGGGAAUAUUGCACAAUGGACGAAAGUUUGAUGCAGCGACGCCGCGUGGAGGGUGUAGGCCUUCGGGUUGUGAACUCCUUUUUCUCGCGAAAAAGGCACAGUUUUGGCUGUGUUGAUGGUAGUGGGGGAAGAAGCGCCGGCUAACUACGUG
rnacentral:rRNA from 1 species